rnacentral:tRNA from 1 species
GCUUUUGAAGGAUAACAGUUAUCCAUUGGUCUUAGGAACCAAAAAUUCUUGGUGCAAGUCCAAGCAAAAGCU